GCCACUCCAGCUGCUCCUCGUCUUCGGUACCCUGUGUGUCCUCAUAAGUAUCCCAGCGCGGUCUGGAUGAGGCGCCCCUCCUGCCCUGAGACUUUCUUAGAGCCAUGUCCACUGUCUCACGGACUCUCCGCCGUCCUGGGGCCAAGUCCUCCCCCUGUGUGGGGCUGUGCAGGGCUGCACUCCGUCGCUUUUGCAUAAGCCUCGCUCUCCUUCGCAGGCGUGAGUGGUGCAUACACGGCUUUUAUGACCAGUCCCAUACAAGGGGUUUUCAACACACCAAUACAGGGGUUUCAAUCCCAGGAUCCUCUGUGCCUGAGAGAUAAUUGUGUGAGAAAAAUCAUCUAAUUUAAUUAUAUCUUGAAAAUCCAACAAAAUAUACUGUACCCCAAAAGAACCACCACCCUACAUAGGAACCCCACAAAAAGUACAUUCCCCAUAUCCUCAAUUUGGUGAUGUGGAAAUGCCAUUGAGGUAAAGUUUUGACCGGCAGGCACAUGGCACUAGCCCAAAACAGUUCCAGGGAAAUAGGUACCCUGGCCUGUCUCCGUUCAUGAGGUUCCAGUGCGAACACCAUGCAAGGGAAUUUCUUCAUUUCAGGAUACGUAUGCUCCCCCUGUUAGGUAGUUCAUAUCUCCUGAACGUCGUUCGUCUGGAAACAGAACGGGUAGCGGUGCCUAGCCGAAGAGAGUUCCAGGCAUUCGACGACCAAGUAAUGUUCGGGAGACAAGAUAGCCACCACUCUUUUGUCUGCCACGAAAUGGCGGCCACCCAGAGGAAGCAUUAAUUAAUUACUUCCCUUGUGGUUUCGCACUUAAGUGGUCGGUGUCAACGUUCUAAUGGGGUACAAGGGUGGUCCUAGUUUGGGAGACAAAAAAAUUCUGUUUGUAUGAAGUCUCCCGAACGGAAAAAGGAUGAAACAGGUGAAUACAAGGGGAAAGUAUAUAUAUAACAGUAUUUGGAGGUCUUCUGCUACAAAGAUAAUCAGGGUUGAGGGUGAUGGGAGUUUGCACCCAGACCAUUUCAAUGAGCUAAAGUGGCCUGGGUGCCUACAGUGUCCCUUUAACGAUUUACAAGCGACUCUAGUUGGUAGAAAUUCAGAUUCCAAUACUGAUCACAUAGCAAUUAUUGUAUUGUACCAGAGUCCUAUUGACCAGGCUUUCAUUUUUCUACUUAUCUGGGUCAUUUUUCAAAUUGGCUCUGCACCUGCAGCUUCUAAAUAACAUUCCAGCACACAUAAUAAAAAUCAUGGUUGCUGAAAUUCUUUUUAUUUUGCCACUUAUAUUCCUGAUCCUAUUUUAAAACUAAGGCAAGAAUACAAGUUGUUAUUUAUGUUGUAUAUAUCUUGAUUUAAUGAACAUAUUUUUCUAAUGUCUUUUUGCCUACUUUCAGUAUUUGACAGACCUCUAUCGAUUCUCACCACUUACUUUAGCACCUUAAUCCUACUUCAAUUUCAUUACACAGAGCCCAUGCCCACAAAAAAAAGUUAACUAUACAUACCCUCAGUGAUGAUAACCUGUUCCGGUGACCUGUUUAGUAUACUAAAAUAUAAAGAGAAAAUAGGACUAAUGGGUUGCAGAUUAUGAACAAUCUGCCUCCCAAAAAGACCUGGAUGAGAGCGACACAAAUACCACGUUACAACAAACAAACUUAAAACCUCAAAGUCGCUUUACACCUAAUCUGGGGAAUUUUAAGAAUAUUGAAUUCUUUUUAGAGUCAGUCAAAUUUGCAAUAGAGAACAUCAAUCAUAAGGAUUUGAAUUUCUUUCCCAAUAUGAAUCUUACAAAAUCUGAGAACAAAGCCCUCCAGUCUUUAAAACUGGAUACCACAAUUACGAUCAAACCGGCUGACAAGGGAGGGAAUAUAGUCAUUUUGAAUUCAGCAGACUAUAUAAAAAUGACUCUCAAGAUUCUUGAUGAUAGAGAUACGUACCAUCUCCUCAGAACAGACCCCACCAAUACAUUCUUACAGGACUACAAAGCAAUUUUGGACAUGGGCCGCAGUAGAGGGGUGCUAUCCAGAGAUGAAUAUGAUUUCAUCCUGAAUAAAUUCCCCAGGAUAGCUACCUUCUACUGCCUGCCCAAAGUCCAUAAAAGCCAGAUUAAUCCCCCUGGGUGCCCCAUAGUUUCGGGUGUUGACAACAUUACCCAAAAUGGUAGUAUUUAUCUGGAUAAGGUUCUCCGCCCAUUUCUGGAAUUGUUACCUUCCUUCAUUCAGGACACCAAGCAAACUUUGGUUCGUCUAUCAAGUCUAACAGUGCCCGAAACAUUGGCACUUUGUAGUCUUGAUGUUGAAGCAUUAUAUUCAUCUAUACCACACAAGGGGGGCAUUCAACAUGUUAAAUUUUACCUGGACAAAAGGGGUGCUGACCUUAAUGAUCACUCUAACUUUGACUUGGAACUUCUUGAGUUUAUCCUCUGCCACAACUACUUCCUCUUCAAUGAAAAAUUCUACCAUCAGGUACAGGGCAAUGCGAUGGGGACAGCUUGUGCCCCAUCGUAUGCCAAUCUCCACCUAGGUUGGUGGGAGGAAGUAGUUGUGGCAUCUGAUGUUUUUUCAUCAUACAGGCCCUUUAUUCAUCAUUGGGCCCGUUAUAUUGAUGAUAUUUUGAUUUUGUGGACAGGUAGUAGGGAAUUUUUUGAUGAAUUUGUAUCCCUACUCAAUUUCAAUGAGUUUAACCUAUAUUUUACUUCGGAGUUCGGGGGCAAUACACUUAAUUUUUGGACCUUACGAUCAUGGUCAGUGGUAAUUCCAUCACCACUACGCUGUAUAAAAAGCCCACAUCUUCUAACAGUCUCUUUCGUUGGGAGAGUUUUCAUCCCCAAUCCCUUAAACGUGGCAUUCCGACGGGGCAAUAUCUUAGAGCCCGUAGGAACUGCAGCGAUGUUGAGGAUUUUAAGCUUCAAGCUAACAUAUUGCGACAACAGUUCAAAAUGAAGGGCUAUCCUAAUAAAUGCCUAAAAAAGCCUAUAGAAGGGCCUUAGAGGCAGACAGAGGCACUCUACUAUCCCCAAAAAUAGUGGAUACCUCCAUCAAACCUCAAGCCCCACGGAUGAUAGCCACUUACGAUUCAGGCUGGGAGGCUGUUAAGUUUGAGAUCCAAAAAUUCUGGCCGUGUCUGUUGGAUGAUGUUCACCUUAAAAUGCUCUUAGGGCCAAAUGUGGAUAUGACGGCACGUAGAGGCAAAAACCUUAGGAACCUUUUAGUCCCAAGCCAUUUCCAUCGUUCACCCACACGCACCUGGCUACACACCCCUACAGUGGGAUCAUACCAAUGUGGCCAUUGUGUCGCGUGUAAAUACAUCAAACGUGACUCUAAGUCUAUUAUGGAUAGCGAUGGUAAAAAGGCUUUUGGGAUUAAAUCCUUUUUCAAUUGCAAUACUGCUGGUAUAGUCUAUCUCCUUACAUGCACCUGUAAGCUACAAUAUGUAGGAAAAACUUUCAGACCGUUUAAGGAGCGCAUUAAGGAGCAUGUUAGAUCUCCGAAACUACCUGUUGAUACUCCCAUAGGUCGUCACCUGAGAGACUUCCAUGCGGGCAAUCCGCAGGGACUCCGGUUCUGUGGAUUGGAAUUGGUGCGCAAGGAUAAACGUAGGGGUAACUAUGACAGAUUUCUGAGACAUCGGGAAAGCCUCUGGAUUUAUCAACUUAGAACACUUUACCCAAAAGGUCUCAAUGAAGGUUUUUCUUUUUUUUUUUUUCCCCUUUAUUUAAAAACUGUAAUGUUUUGAUAAACUGUCCAUCAUCAUUAAUAUCAUCUAUUUCCAUCAUUACCUACUACUUUUCAGUUUUGCGACUUAUUCGUUAUUUUCACCAACAUUACAUGAUAUGUGAAUAUGGAUAUAUUAUACUACUUCACUUUCCAUUCAUUUAUUCAUUCAUUUAUUUAUUCAUUAAUUUUUUCAUUUUUUCAAUCUCCAUCUCUCCUUUAAUUUUACCAUUAAUGGAGUACUUUUCAAUUUGCUAUCUAAGUCAAUACAGGAUUUCUACUUUAACAAAUUCUCUUUGAAUCAAUAUGUAUUCUCCCUCUUUAUUUUUUGAGUUUACUUUAUUUUUCUAUUUUAACCACACUGUGGGGCUUAUGUUUCUAUGCCCUAAUUUAUUAUUCUAUUCAUAUAAUUUUGAAUAUCUCUCUAAUGUUGUUUUCUCUGGGCUCAUUAUAUUUACUACAUGAUAGAGUUUAUUAAGACAUACAAAGUCACACAUGGUGCUCAAUUAUUACAUCUUUACUAUAUGUGAUGAGUUUUACACUGUGUGACAUACUCAUACAUGUAGUGCCACUGUUGUGAUAUUUAUCAUGAUUACUAUCGAAUUGUUCCCUAAAUGGGCUCCAUUUGUUUUAUCCUGUAGCGUUAUGUUCAUCUAUACGCUACUUUCGCCAGCUCUUCUGUUUAGCUACAUUUACAUUUUACAUUUUGUGCCUUCACUCUAUGAAGAUAGAAGAUAUGUGCUAGCUUCCAUUCAUAUUUUGGUUAUGUGAGGGUUAAAUCUACAAUUAGCUUCACUCCUGUUGAGCUUGGUACUUUUCUCCGCCCCCUAUUUCCUGAUUGGACAACAGUGGUUACAUCAUGCGUAUGGGUGGAGCUUUAAACACAUUUAAAAAGAGGCUCCCUUCAGUCUGCAAAUUGCUCUUGAUAAGGGCGACUUGCUUCGCCGAAACGCGCGUUGGGCACUUUACUAAAGCGGAUGAUGAUUUUAAUUUAGGAUUCUAUUUUGUUUUCAGACUGUCCUAUCAUUUAUCUAUUUAUGGUGGGAUUAGAUACUAGUCUAUUACCAGCAUGAUAUUAAGGACUCCUCCCCCCAAAUCUCCUACAGCUGUUUAGGCAGUUUGCUUAACAUUUAUAUUGCUGGCUACUUAGACUGCAGGCUUUUUUCCUGCAAUGUUACAAACGUAUUUUGGUAGAUCUUUGUGCACAUAUUUUUUGUGCACUUGAUAUACUCUUUGUCCUAAUUAUAGAGUUUAUUUACUUUUGCAUUCAGAGAUCUUCAGUUUGCUACAUUUAAUGUAUCUCCCCUCUUUUGGUCAUAGUUAUUUGCUACUAUUUAUGGUAAUUCUGCCACACACAUACUUAUAGCAUUUCUUCUGACCAUAUUACUAUUAAUUUUGGACUAGUCGAUUCUAUCCAAUUAGAUCCUAAUUUUAUUACUUGUUUGUUUAGUAUCUGUGUGUUUCUCCCCCAAGAGGGAUUAAUAAAGAGUUUUUCGUUUUUUGCUCUCUGCGCUCCACUUUUAUAUUUAUAAUUGCAGAGUAGCUUUUUUCACAUAAGGAUACAAGGUCUUUUUGGGAGGCAGAUUGUUUAUAAUCUGCAACCCAUUAGUCCUAUUUUCUCUUUGCACUUCUAGGGGUUAGGCCCCAUUGUAUCUCUCAACCAUCACAACCUGGCGGAUGGACUUGUUCCAUUCCUAACCAGUGCUGUGUUUCUUUAUACUAAAAUAUAAUUGAGAAUACAGUCCUGUAGUAAAGAACAACAGGUCAAUGCAAUGUUUGAAUGGUUUAUGAGAUGUAUGUGCUAUUAUUUCUUUCCCCUAAUACUGAGUAACAUUCCACAUCCGGAUGCACUGUAAGUACCUGAUAUUGAAAAGUUUUACUGUAAGCACCUGACCUGGCAGCUGCAGGAGAAUGUUCCCAAGUGUAAAAAACUGCAAAGGGCACUCAGUGUACUAUGCACAGAUAGGUAGAGGGAACAUAUAAACAACAGAAAAAAGGACAAGAAGGGCGCUUAUAAAUAUUAAACGAAUGGUGCAGCUCAAAAUUACCCAAGUGUAGUGUCACCAAAAUACACUUCUAAAUUGUGAUAAGAUCAAAGAAAAAAGGUGAUUAGCGCACACAUAAGAAAAUAACUUUGUUUUACCUUACGUAAAUUGUGUCUCAGGUAACCACAAAGCAAGUACUUUUUACACCUAUAUAUAAACAGACAAAACAUACAUAGUGUAAUCUGUAUAAGAAAUAAUAAAGUGAGGACAUUUUUUUCUUCAAACUCACAAUUUUUUGAGCUAUUUAAAAGUUAGCUCUAGACUUAUAAUGCUCAUCAUCUCAUCCUUAAGCGAUGCAAUGAUAAUCCAUCCAAAGUAUCCACAGGAACUUAUAGCUGGUAAAAUUCCAGUAAAAUUCAAAGUCCGCGGAGAGUUGAUAUAAAAAGUAUUUAUUCUCACAUAAAAUUUAAAAUAAAAAAUGUAUAUGUAUACAAAUAAGAUAUAAAAAAUAGCACAACGCGUUUCAACCUUUACAUAGGUCUUUCUCAAGUGCAUCUGACUAACAACUGGGCUUUAAAGCCCUUUUAUAGCAAAGAGUAAUUGGAACAAAGUACAUAAUUAUAGACAACUGUGUAUUCACUACCACCCACUUCCAUUUAUGGUCAUAGCCGGAAGUGCCGUGCCAUCCAAAAAAUGGCCGCACCUCCGGCUAUGAGUCCCAUUAAACUUGGGACGUUUUUUCUAAAAAACUACUGGUUAAAAUUUGUUUAACAUUUUUUGCACCUCUAAAAAUAAAUUUAGGUUUGGAACCUAAAAAUUCCUGUAUUUCUUCGUCCUGAGUUAAAAUAUUCCAAUUUUUAUUGAUAAUCUUUUUAAUAAUACCUAUAUUACUGGAAUAAUUGAAGAUAAGAGGGAUUUGUUUAUCGUUGCCUGUCAAUAGAUCAUCUUUCUUUUUAUAUUUUAAUAAAGGAGAUCUUUUUAAGGUUGACACUUCCUGAACUUGUAUAUCUAAAUCUUUCUUUUGAUAUCCCUUUUGUAUAAAUUGUGUCUUUAAAAAUUCAGCUUGAUUAAAAAAAUCUUCAUCAUUCGUACAGUUCCGACGUAAUCUUAAAAAUUGUCCCCUAGGAAUAUUAGACAACCAUGGUUUGUGAUGGCAACUACUAACUUUAAUAUAACUAUUGACAUCAACUGAUUUUAAAAAAAAGUACGGGUGGUUAAAAUGUUAUUACAGACCUGAAUAUUCAAGUCUGAAAAAUCAAUACUUGUAUUGCUCAUACACUUAGUUAGGCGAAUCCCCCAAUCAUUAAUGUUAAGAGAAUUAAAAAAACUGUUAAAAAGAUCCUCAAAUCCUUUCCAUAUGAUAAAGAUAUCAUCUAUGUAUCUUUUGUAUAGGACCAGGUUUGCACCACAGUCAUGUCCUUGAUAAAUAAAAGUGCGCUCCCAAUAUGCCAUAAAAAUGGUUUGCAUAACUUGGUGCAAACCUGGUCCCCAUAGCCGUAUCUCUAACUUGUAGAUAAAAAUCUCCUUCAAACCAAAAGUAGUUAUUAUUAAGAAUAAUCUGAAUACCAUUUAGAAUAAAAUUUAGCUGAGAUAUUAUAUUUCUUAGAUUCUUGUAGAAAAAACUCAGUAGCUUCACAUCCCUUCUCAUGUUUAAUAAUGGUAUAUAAACUGGUUACAUUACAUGUAAUGAGGAGAUAAUCAUCUUCCCAUUUAAAAUUAUUAAGGAUCUUGAGUAGACUCAUUGAAUCCUGGAGAUAUGAGGGACAAUUUUUGACCAAAGGUUGGAGAUGGAAAUCUAUAUAUUGGGAUAACGGAGGUAAAAUCGAAUUAAUGCCUGAUAUUAUAGGAUGUCCCGGUGGAUUAGUGGGAUCUUUGUGUAACUUUGGUAAUACAUAUAUUACUGGUAUACGAGGAUGGUCAGGAAAUAAAAAAGCUUAUUCACUUUUAUUUAAAAUCUUAUCGUUCUCUCCCUGCUCUAAAAAAGUCUUAUAGAUUGUCUUUAUUUCUUGUGUGGGAUCUUUUUUCAAUUUUUUAUACGUAUGAAAAUCUUGAAGCUGUCUUUCAAUUUCCUGUAAAUAAUUUUCCAUAUCCAUUAUUACCACUCCCCCCCCCUUUAUCAGCCGGUUUAAUAACUAUCGAUGGAUCUUUUCUUAAUUCUUCUAAAUUCCUUUUUUCCUCAAAUGUUACAUUCAAGCUGUAUUUUGAAAGGGGUUUGAUUUUAUAUAUAUCCUCCAAACAUGACCGCUCAAAAACUUUCAUUGAGUCGGACUUAAGGAAUGCGGGAUAGAAAUUAGAUUUCUUUUUAAAAUCACUAUGGACAAAAGAGGAGAGGAGGAGAUCUUCCAAAAAAAUUGAGUACCCAAGAAGUAAAGUGGAUCUUUGAGAUACGCACUUUAUCUCCCUUGGGUCUCAAUAUUGAUUUUGAAAUCAAUAGUAUUUUAUAGAGAUUAUUAUUAUCAAUCUUAAACUUAUUUGUUAAUAUAUUUUAAUAGAGUUUUAUCUCUUCAAUUUUUCUCCUAUUUACAAAAAUAUAUAUUUUGAUGGAUUUUUUAAAUGAUUUUAUAUUAAAAAACUGUAUGUAUAGAAAAGUGUUUAAUAAUACUAUUUUUAUUGUCUCCCUCUUUUUCAUACUAUUUUUUAUUGUUUCCCUCCUUUUAAUUGUGGAGAUACAAAAUAUCAUGAACUGAGGACAUUCACAUCCGCACAAAGGACGUUUUCUGUAUUUCUGACGAGCCCUAUAAAGAACGAGCUCCAGGAGUCAUGUGACUGCAAAAGAAAUUAGAAUAUACACGUCACCGGAAGUGACGUAUCGGAAUACAGACGACAGGAUGUUGAUGUCAUCGGAAGAGAUUAGACCGAACAGGACUCCAUAUAAUGAAGAAUGCGAUCGGACAUGUUGGGGAGGUCAAGUUUAAUGGGACUCAUAGCCGGAGGUGCGGCCAUUUUUUGGAUGGCACGGCACUUCCGGCUAUGACCAUAAAUGGAAGUGGGUGGUAGUGAAUACACAGUUGUCUAUAAUUAUGUACUUUGUUCCAAUUACUCUUUGCUAUAAAAGGGCUUUAAAGCCCAGUUGUAAGUCAGAUGCACUUGAGAAAGACCUAUGUAAAGGUUGAAACGCGUUGUGCUAUUUUUAUGUCUUAUUUGUAUAUAUAUAUAUACACAUUUUUUAUUUUAAAUUUUAUGUGAGAAUAAAUACUUUUUAUAUCAACUCUCCGCGGACUUUGAAUUUUACUGGAAUUUUAUCAGCUAUAAGUUCCUGUGGAUACUUUGGAUGGAUUAUCACUGCAUCGUUUAAGGAUGAGAUGAUGAGCAUUAUAAGUCUAGAGCUAACUUUUAAAUAGCUAAAAAAAUUGUGAGUUUGAAGAAAAAAAUGUCCUCACUUUGUUAUUUCUUAUACAGAUUACACUAUGUAUGUUUUGUCUGUUUAUAUAUAGGUGUAAAAAGUACUUGCUUUGUGGUUACCUGAGACACAAUUUACGUAAGGUAAAACAAAGUUAUUUUCUUAUGUGUGCGCUAAUCACCUUUUUUCUUUGAUCUUAGGUAGAGGGAACAUGCCAGUACACAGCUUAGCCAUGAGUGAAUGAAGCAAGGGACUCUGCAAUUUUCUCUUGAUAAUUGAGUUUAGUGCUUCAGAUAUGGCACAUACAUUCUGCUGAUGAGCUGCUGGGAAGACAGAGAGAGUAGCUCAACCGUCUGAGACCUAGCAAUUUGAAAAAGACCUCCGGAUUAGCUAGAGAGGCUGAGUAAAUGUGUGAGCCAUUGUGGCUUGCCAUAGGGUCCCAUUUAUAUAAUUCAAUGCAUCUGUCCUGGAAUACAAAAGUGAUCACUGAAUAUUUUCUGCGACACUGAAACAUAUGAAAGCAUAAGUCCAGAUAAAUAUGUAGUGUGUAGCAAUCAUGAUCCAUGGCUUGCGAAUUCCCUGACAGCUUAAGUGCUACUAUCUUAUUGGCCCUAGUAGCCAUCUGAACAAUGGCAUUUCAGGGGAGUUCACUGGUGCCAAAACUACCAUCCUCACCUUGAAGACACAUGGUACCACUAUUGGAUGUUUGACCAUAGUGGUCCAUUGUAGGUUUUUAAGGCAUUAUGCCUACUACCUCUAGGAUCCCCCAACUUCUAACAUUGCACCUGCAGGACCUGCACUGCAGACUCAAGAUCGUCCUGUUGGCUAAUUACUGGAGUGGUAUUGGCUGUGGCCACCACAGAGGUGGAUGACAUCUGAACCGCCAUCACCAGCUCUGGCACUUGUUUUGUGAGAAUGGUGAGUUCUGGCUUCAUGUCCCCCAGGUCCAUUAGGAACAAUGGUUUAAAGCCCCAAAAGAGGGCAUUAAUAUCUCUCUUAGUUGUAGGUAUGGAUUCGUCAUCCGAUUCAAGGACUUGGUAGUAUAGAAGGGAUACUCUCAGGCUUGGAGGAAGUUUAGGUGUAGGUCGCGAGGAUGCCAUGAUGGCCUGCUCUGCACAUGGCUGACAAACCACAUAGGAAUCCAGAGCUAAGGUGAGGGAGGUCUGGCCAGGUGCUGCUUUUAGAUUUCUUGCCCACUAUAUCAACAGGGGCAAUGUAUAUGGAAAAAUAAAGACAAUUUCUUGUUUAGCAGGAAAAAAAUACAGUAUUGAAGUGAUAUUGCAGAGGAGAUCCACUAACAUGCCUACUGCUUCCAGUUCAGUUGGCUCCACCCCCAGUACAAAGAUUUGACUAGAGUCAACAGAUUUACUAAAUAUUUUAAUUUCAAGUGGUUUGAAAGGUCAUUUAAUCUUUGAGCCUGGAACAAUACUUCUCCUUAUGGUGCCUUAAGUAAUAUCAGUUGGAGUUCUAUAUUUCCAUUUUUUCCAGUUUAUUUCUGUAGAUUUCUUUACUGCAGUGCCACAAAAAAACAGAUUUAAAUGUGUAAUUUACAUUUGUGUUAUAUUAUUCAAUUGUUGGUAUAUUUUAUUUUUUUGCACAUGAAGCGCAUUCACAGCCUUAUUCCAUGUCCACCAAUCAAUGUAUUUGUGUUACUCUUAAUUAAGCCCUAAGGAUACUCAUCGGGUUAUUUAGUGAACGUGAAAUGGUGGAGAAUUGACAAAUGAAUUGCAAAAGUUGGCAUUUAUUUUUCAAUUCAGCCAUUGUGUUCUUAGAAGAAUACUCCAGGCAUUAUACUAACUGCAGCACACUGUACUGUAGCCCAUGGAUCAGCACAGCUAAUAGAAAUAGGCCUUGACAGAGCCAGGAGGCAUAGCAGCCACAGGAAGUGACAGCUAGUAUGCUGGGUAGGGCGGAGCCAUUAGGGGAGUAUUUAUACCAGCCAUUAUAUGAAGUGGCCAUUUUAACUGAACCUAAGCUUACCUGUCAGUUGUCCCUCCCACCCUCCCUGUAUUUGGUUAGGUUAGUUGAUUUCCCGUUUUUUCACAGCGGCGGGGAAUGGCCUGGUUAAAUCGGAGGGUAGAUGGAGGAGAAAGUGGGCAUCCUGAGGUUUAGUGUGGAUUGGGCAGUGUUGCAUGUGGUUGGUAGAUUCGAGCCCGUCGGUGGCUCCGAACCUGGGGGUGUGGUGGUGUCUUGGUACACCCUACACUGGAACUGGUGGGUAGCGGUGUCUUGGUACACCCCUACAAUCGAUAUGGUGGGUAGCGGUGUCUAGGUACACCCCUACAAUUUAACCUGGUGGAAAUGUGGUCAUAUUGGGCAGCCAGUUUCUGUAUUAACAUGUUAUUUAACCCCUUAAGACCGGAGAGCGUACUAUUACGCUCUAUUAUAUGCGGCUCUAAACGCCGCCGGGCGUAAUAGUACGCCCUCCGGUCUUUCUGUACUUACCCAGUCGCCGGCGUCGGAAGUCCGACCCCCUGGAAGCCCCCCGGCCAUGUGAGAGUGAGGUCCUUGCGAGGACCUCACAAUCACAUGGCCGGGUAGGCUGCCUCCUGCAUUGCCAGCAGGGGGGCUGCCUGUAAUGACAGGUGGUCCCCCUGCUGGCUGAGAAUAAAAUUAAUAAAAGUUUAUAAGUGUAAAAAAAGAAAUAAUAUAUACUUAGAUCAUAUAUAUUAUAUAUAUAUGAUCUAAGUAUAUAUAUACAGAUAUACAUACACACACAUAUAGUGUCUAGGUGUAUUUUACUAUUAAUAUAUAUAUAAUUAUAUAUAUAUAUAUAUUAAUAUCAAAUUACACGUAGACUGAUACUGAUUAAAUAUAUAUAUAAUUAUUGUUAUAUAUAUAUGUAUAUAUAAUAUAAAAAAUUAAAUAUGUAAAUACGUUAAAAAAUAAAAUUAAAAAGAUAAUUAAAAAAUAAUUAAAAAAUAUAGAGAUGUGUGUUAUUUCGUUCUAACUGUAUUGUGAUAUUAAUAUAUAUAUUUAUAUCAAAAUACACGUAGAACGAAAAUAUAUAUAUCUACAUACAUAAAUAUAUACGUAUAUAUCACUAUAUAUAUACCUAUAUAUAAAUAAAAAUAUUUUUAAAAAAUUAUAUAUAUAUACACAUAUAGAUUCACAUACGUAUAUAUAUACAUAUAUUAAUUCUACAUAUAUAUUUAUGUAAUAUUUUUACAUAAUUAGGUAUCUUAAUUAAUUACAAUUAGCGGGACCUGCCUGACAACCCAUGCCGAGAGUAAAGGGAAUUUAAUUUGCUAGCACUAUAUUUAACCCUAUAACUUUCCAAGACACCAUAAAACCUGUACAUGUGGGGUAUUGUUCUACUCGAGAGACUUCGCUGAACACAAAUAUUAGUGUUUCAAAACAGUAAAAUGUAUUACAACGAUGAUAUCGCCAGUAAAAGUGACUUUUUUAGCAUUUUUCACGCACAAACAGCACUUACACGGACGAUAUUAUUGCUGCGAUACUUUUUACUGUUUUGAAACACAAAUAUUUGUGUUCAGCGAAGUCUCCCGAGUACAACAGUACCCCUCAUGUAGAGGUUUUAUGGUGUUUUCAAAAGUUACAGCGUCAAAUAUAAGGCUUGCGUUUCAUUUUUUUCACAUUAAAAUUCGGCAGAUUGGUUACGUUGCCUUUGAGACCCUAUGGUAGCCCAAGAAUGAAAAUUACCCCGAUGAUGGCAUACCAUUUGCAAUAGUAGACAACCCAAGGUGCAAACAGGGUAUGUCCAGUCUUUUUUAGUGCCACUUAGUCACAAACACUGGCCAAAAUUGGCGUUUUUUGCAUUUUUCACACACAAACAAAUACUAACACUAACUUUGGCCAGUGUUUGUGACCAAAUGGCUACUAAAAAAGACUGGACAUACCCCAUUUGCAAUACCUUGGGUUGUCUACUAUUGCAAAUGGUAUGCCAUUAUGGGUGUAAAUUUCAUUCCUGGGCUACUAUAAAGUCCCAAAGGCAACGUAACCAAUCUGGCGAAUUUCAAUUUCAAAUGUAACGUGCUAUAUUUGACCCUGUAACUUCCCAAAACGCCAUAAAACCUGUACAUAGGGGGUACUGUUUUACACUUGAGACUUUGCUGAAUACAAAUAUGUGUAUUUUAUUGCAGUAAAAGCAAACAGUAUUAUGACAUUGACAGUUAAAAUGUCAUGUAGAACUAAAAAAAUAAAAUUUCUUAUUUUCUCCCAUUUUUUUUCAUAUUAAAUUAUGUUUCAUAGCUAAAUAUUUGAUAUUAAAUGAAAGCCCUGUUUCCCCUGAAUAAAAUGAUAUAUAAUAAGGGUGGGUGCAUUUAAUAUGAAAGAGGUGAAUUACGGUUGGACAGACGUAGCGCAAAUGCCAGGUUUUGUUUACAUUUUGUUUAGUUCACAAGGUGUACAUUUGGCUCCGUCCUUAAGGGGUUAAAUUGUUAUCUAUUGUUAUUAUUGUGGGGUCAUUGCUAGAGGUAUGUUAUGUAUAUGGGGGGAUGUUAACUUUAAUAGGAUUUGUUGGCAAUGACCCCAUUUGUUAUUCCUUAAUUAUUUUAUUAAUAAUUUAAUAAAGCUGUGGACUAAUUAUUUCCAACAGUAUAACCUGUGUCCGUGUUUUAAUGGGGGUUUGGGUAAGGUUAGCGCAUAGGCCGGCAAAUCCGACUGUGCGCCUAUCAUGGUUUUGGUAGCUUGACAAUACUCCAGGCAUUGUAAUAACUGCAGCACACUGUACUGGUUUUGGUAUCUUGACAAUUUACCUUGGUCCUACCAGAUGCUUGCGGCUGUAUCUGGUUUUCCCCUGCAGGAGAAUCUGUAUUGCUCUAUAGAUCAAAGCAUGGCCUUGCAGUACUGUACUGGUUGGUUGAGGGCGUCAGCUGAGUUAUUUCAGCAAAUGAGUCUGCUUUAUUUUAUAGGGAUAUCUGGCUUUGUAUGUAGGAGAAAACCAAAUGUAAAGGGUACCUGGUGGGCCUUUAAACUCUCUGUUUAAUACUUUAAAGCUAAUAGAAAAACAAUGCCAAGUUAGGUUUUCUCAUUGAACCAUUCAAGUAUAUUUAUGGCAUGGGCAUGUACUGCCUGCUUACGCUAUCCAAGUCGGUUUCUUUCACUUGCAGAAGGUGUGCUUGAGCAAACAUGCACACCUAGGAUAUAGAAAAAAAAAGAAAAGAAAGAAUUGCAACAUAUAUACGUAAGUGGUAGAGCUUGCAGGUGAUAUAAUAAAAAAAAUAAUUAAAACGUGACAUAAUGGUGGUCACUGUAAUUUGUGCACCUUUCAGAAUAUACAAGAAAGGUCUAUGUUAAUCAAAAGUAAAUAGUAAAAUAUAAUAUUAAUACAGUUAUUUAAAAAAACAUUGGUGGAUAUGUUUUCUAAUUUUGUAUAUAUUUUUUUCAGAAUAUAUUUUCCCUGAGAGAAUGCUGAAUUGCUAGAUAAUUAUGAUAAGACGAAAAUCAUGACAAGAUCAUUAAUCUUACCACCAGCAAGAAUUAUAAAGAGCUGCUGUAUGUGACAAGCAUUACUAACUGAUACAUUGACGCUAAUAGCAUAAAUUUCAUGCUGUGUUUCUUAAUAUUGGUAUACAGUGACAUUUUGUGCUGACGAUGCACUACAUUAAACAGUGGGUGGCUCAUAGAAUGUGUAGCUGAAAUAAUGGUAACCUUUUAGAAAGGCAAAAUAUUGCAUUAAGACAUUUUAAUUGCAAGUCCGCAUGCAAUGAUGUUUUCUUUAGGAAUUAUUUCAAUAUGUCUCAACAGCUACUAGAAACCUACAUUAAAGGAACACUUUUUUUUUAACAGUAGAUAUUAGACAUUAACAUAUAUGUAAUUCUUUUUGCGUGGUUUAUUUGGGAAUAUAUUAAAUCGUAGCUUGCUAUAACUGCAGAUCUAGUAUUUGCAGCUGCUGCAACUCCUUUCCUUCUUCCUGGCACAGUCUUUAAAAAGCAGGUGCCCUGGGCAAGCUCCUGCCACUUGAGCUUAGCCCCUGGGUGCUCAGCUUAGUUAGAAGAAACCGGCUGUCUGAAAAGUGCCAAUUUCUAGCAAGCUAAAGUGUUUGGAGUAUCCUUUAAUGUUCAAAUUUUAUACUAUUUGCUUAAUUUUAGUGAAUUUAAUAUUGUAGAAAAAUAAGCUUUUUUUUAAUAAUCAGGACUUUUGGAGAAUUGACAAGAUAACUCUUUUGGCCUAAAAUGUGCAAAUGUAUUGUCUAUCACCAAACAAUUGCUGGUUUAGUGACCAAACUUAAUAAAAUAUGAAUUUUAGUUAUGAUGUAGCAAUCCUAUUACCGUAUAUACUGAAGUAUAAGUCGACCCGAAUAUAAGUCGAGACCCCUAAUUUUACCCCCAAAAACUGGGAAAACUUAUUGACUCGAGUAUAAGACUAGGGUGGGAAAUGCAGCAGCUACUGGUAAAUUUCUAAAUAAAAUUAGAUCCCCCAAAAAUUAUAUUAAUUGAAUAUUUAUUUACAGUGUGUGUAUAUAAUGAAUGCAGUGUGUGUGUGUAUGAAUGCAGUGUGUGUGCAUGAAUACAGUGUGUCUGUAUGAAUGCAGUGUGUGUGUGUAUGAGUGCAGUGUGUGUGUAUGAAUGCAGUGUGUGUGUAUGAGUGCAGUGUGUGUGUGUAUGAAUGCAGUGUGUGUAUAUGAGUGCAGUGUGUGUGUGUAUGAAUGCAGUGUGUGUGUAUGAAUACAGUGUGUAUGUAUGAGUGCAGUGAGUGUGCAUGAAUGCAGUGUGUGUGUGUAUGAGUGCAGUGUGUGUAUGUGUAUGUGAUGCAGAGCCUUGGUGGGGGGUGGGCAUUUUUAUUAUUUUUUUUAUAUUAUUAUUAUUAUUAUUUUAAUAUUUUUUUUAAUAUUAUUAUUUUUAUGUUAUUUUAUUUAAAGUUUUAUGUUAUUUUUCUUCGUCCCCCCUCCCUGCUUGUUAGCUGGCCAGGGAGGGGGGCUCUCAUUCCCUGGUGGUCCAGUGGAUGGGCUGUGUAGGAGGGGGCUGGCAGGAAGUUUUUACUUACCUUUCCUGCAGCUCCUGUCAGCUCCCUUCUCUCUCCUCCGGUCCGGUCAGCUCCCCUGCAAUCUCGCGGUGUGAGUGCCGCGCGGAGCAUUGCCACGGUAACCUGUGGCAACGCUCUGACCCCGCGGCUCUCGCGAGACUUGCAGGGGAGCUGACCGGACCGGAGGAGAGAGAAGGGAGCUGACAGGAGCUGCAGGAAAGUAAGUUGCCAUAAUACAGACAUUCACUCGAGUAUAAGACCAGUGGGGGUUUUUCAGCACAAAAAACAUGCCGAAUAACUCGUCUUAUACUCGAGUAUAUACAGUAUGUUCUUAUCCUAAAAAGCUGCAGAAUUUGAAAAGCCUCUAAGCUAGUAGGCAUCAAGAUCCAUGGCCUCAAUUUAAUUGUAAUGACUGAAAAUGGUAAAUAAAUAUUAACUAUUUUCAGAUCGUAUUUUUUAUUAUUUCUGCUGGAUUUAAUGCAAACCAAAAACAUCAGAAUUCUAUAAAUGGGUUGGAUGCUUGAGGAAAAUAUGCGUAUCAGAUGAAUGUGUAUCAGAAGCACUUUUAGCAAUCUUUUUUGAAGACUUACCCUGUUAUAAAUGCCUAUGGGGACAAUAUAACCACCACAGUGGCAUACCUACUACGGUCGCAGCUGCAACCGGGCCCAUCACCAGUUGGGGGGGUACAGCCUCUUCACUUGUUAGGGGUCCAGGCCAUCUGAGGGCCCUGCAAGCCCGGGCCCCUUACAUGCACACAGCCCCUUCCCGAGUCUUUGCAGGGUUUGCACAGCAGGAAGGGGAGGAGGCUCUCUGCCUUCACCUCUGCGCUGAGUUCCGGCUUUCCAAGCGUUGCUGCGGUAACCACAGCAACCCUCGAUUACACAUGGUGCCAGGACUUGCGGAAAGAGCCUUCACCCAGCAGAGGUGAAGGCAGAGAGCCUCUGCAGCACAACCAAACAACCAGGGAAUAUGCUGGAUACUGGUAGGGCACAGGGAGGGGGAGAUAUAUUAAAUACAUUUUUUUUUUACUAGGGGAUAUAUCACUAUUGGAUUUCCCCUAUAGUUUAUAUUGCCAAACGAGACAUAUAGCCUCCCAGAGAGUCUGUACAGCAGGGUCGGCUACAUAGCUCCACACCUGUUUGUGCUAAUAGGGAUUUGCUAGGCUGCCUUGAAGCAGCAGUUUAGUAUCUAUGGCCUGCCUGUGGGCUAGAUAGUAAGCCCAGGGUUUUCUAGGAUACUGUCUCCUUUUCUCUAAAGUUACUAAUUUCGGAGGGGGCUUUUUUGAUUGAAGGUACUGCUGUUAUAUACCGCUGUGGAUUUUAUGUAUCUUUUAGACUCACACUAGGGGAUAUAUUACUAUUGACCACAGUUUAACUCCAGUACCAUAUCGGCAUUUUUACUAUUGCUAGGUACCACGAUCCCAGCUAUAUAUAUCACUUACGUAUUUUACCGUUUUUGCGCUACUUGGUUCAUUUAAUUUUCAUCUUUUGUACGGAGAAGUCUGUACUUAUGUUCCGUUUCUCUUAUAUAUUGGUCCACAUAUCGGAUGUCUCUAUAAUCUUACUUGGUCCUCUUUAGAGGCCUUACUACUAUUUAUUUUAGCGGACUCUAUACGUAUGUGCACAUACAAUAUAUAUAUAUCAUUUUUUAGGAGAUUAAGAGAUUUCUAAUUCCUCACCUUUAUGUGAUUUUCACUAACACAACUUUCUAUGGUGUUUCUAUCCAGGGUAAGCUUUAUACCUAUUAUAUAUAUUUUAUUUGCUUAAUUUUAGUUUAAUAAAGGUUAUUACCAUUUUCUUUGUUACGUUUACUUUAGGAGGUAAUCUUCUAGAGUGAGAUUGAAUCCCAUUCACUUUUGAGUGAGUGGUUUUUCUAUCCCACUCUUUCAGUUGGUAGUUAUUUACUUGUUGUGUGUUACCUCUUGUAACCUACUUGGGGGUUCUGAUGUUGGCUAGUCCAACAUCACUACUCCUAUCUCAUAUUUACAUUUUUUUAUUUUUUAUUAUUACAUUACAAAAUAAAUAUAUUUUUAAAAAAAGAUGCUCCCUUUUAGCCCCCACAGCCCCUAUCCUACCCAGCAAACACACUCUCACACACACGCACACUGCUUCCCUACACACACACACACACACUGGUUCCCUAUACACACACUUAGACCACUGGGGGGAGGGGGCCCAGGGCAAUUUUUGCACCUGGGCCCAGUGAUUUCUAGUUACGCCUCUGGACCACCACAUUAGUACAAGGGAGGUUUUUACGUACCUGAUGCCCCCAUUCACCAUGUUAUGGGUGGAGGCAUAUCUGCUAAACAGUGUGUAGGCAUCUGCUCGCUAUGCAUCUGAAAAAGGAACUAAGUCAUUGAAGUCUAUCAAGGUUAUUUACAAUUUUCUAUUUUGACCUUAGCUUUGAAAUUCACUUUGAAUUCACCUUUAAUUCUUACUUUAGUAAAUAACCAUGUCAAUUUUCAAUGUUAAAUAUAGGCUUUUGACUUAAAACAAUAUUUAUCAUUUUUCGAUAAGCAUUUAACAGCAGUAAUUUAAUUGAUCUGAACUGAUAAAUGGCUUACAAUGAGCCGAUAUACUGCUGAUAAACAUGAUCGGCUUUAAUUAAACUGAAGGCCAUGCUUGGCCUAUUUUGUAAGCAGUAUAAACAGUUCCCAGAUGGGAGUCUAUAUCAAAAGCCUAAGAGGGAUUUAUGUAAGACUACAGUAAUAUUUUAAAUUACAUUAAUGUGGUAGAUCUGUUCCUUCUAACCAGCACGAUAAUGCAGUUCCCAUGGUAAUGGGUGCGUCAAUCCUUAAUAAAUGAAGAAACUCUGUUACUAGGGCAGUAGUUAAAGUUGCUCUAAAGGCCCAGUUUAUCAUGCAUUAUAUUGACAAUUCAUUACAAUAUAUAUAUAUAUAAACCAUACUUCCCACCAAGUGUUUAGUGCUGCUAAUUGUAAGACAAGACAGGAGGCUCAUAUUUUGCACUUUCUUUACUCAGCCUACAAAAGCUGCAAAGUGUCAUAACAGAAAAAAAAUAACAACCAAUAAACAGAAGAUAAAGGUCAUUUAGCCAAAACCUGCAGUAAUAGAGUUUUUGCUCAGCCUCUAGCUCAGAGUAGCCAUUUAACUGUUAUUUGUUUUGCUGUUUGUGUAUAUGCUGUGUGUGUGUGGUGUGUGUAUGCUGUGUCUGUGUAUAGUGUGUAUGAUGUGUGUAUAGUGUGUAUGAUGUGUGUGUGUGUAUAGUGAGCAGUGUGUAUUGUUUGUGUGUGUAUGUGUAUCCCCUCCCUUACCUGUGUUCAGGGAGGGGGGACACCAGGGACGUUUUAGCCGCGAGGCAAACAAGGCAUUUGCCUUGGGCGGCAUUUUCCAGGGGGCGGCAAAAAAAGCCACCCCAAAUGCCCAGGGCAAAUGUCUUGUUAGCCUUGCGGCUAACUGACAUGCCAGUCGGGCGGGCGUCACUGGUGAGGGAGCACUUCCCUCGCCAGUGGGCCCAGGAGUCUCCACAUCCAGCAGCAGCAUGUCCUCUGUUCUCACGAUCUGCAAGAGCGUUGCCGGGGGUUGCCAUAGCAACGCUCUGUCUGCUCAGCUCCCUCGCGUGCCGCAGAGUGAGGCUGGGAGCCGGAAUAUGACGUCAUAUUCCGGUUCCCGGCAUCACUCUGUUGCACGCGAGGGAGCUGAGCAGACAGCUCAGAGGAAGUGCUCCCUCGCCAGCCGCCCGCCCAGCAGCCACUGCACCCCCAGGAAGAGAGGGAAUCCCCCCAGCAUUCCCAAAGGAAGGAGGCUGGGGGAGGGGGGUUAAAUAAAAAAAUGUGUUAAUGUGAGUGAGUGUGUGUGUAUGUCUGUUAGUGUGUGUCUGUUAGUGAGUGUGUGUCUGUUAGUGAGUUUGAGUGUGUCUGUUAGUGUGUGUGUGUCUGUUACUGUGUGUCUGUUACUGUCUGUCUGUUAGUGUCUGUCUGUUAGUGUGUGUGUGUGUAUCUGUUAGUGAGUGUGAAUGUGUCUGUUAGUGAGUGAGUGUGUGUCUAUUAGUGAGUGUGUGUCAGUGAGUGAGUGUGUGUCUGUUAGUGUGUGUGUGUCUGUUAGUGUGAGUGUGUUUGCCUAUGAGUGUGUGUGUCUGUUAGUGAGUGUGUGUGUGUCUGUGUGUGAGUGUGUAUUUGUCUGUUAGUGAGUGUGUGUUUGUCUGUUAGUGUUUGUGAGUGUGUUUCUGUUAGCUAGUGUAUGUGUAUCUGUCAGUGAUUGUGUGUGUAUUUAGAAGGCGGGGCGGGGGAAGGGUUGGGUGGGAGUGGUGGGGGGAAGGAGGGAGCCUGAGUUUUGUCCUGCGUAGGGCAGUACAAAACCAGGAUACACCACUGGGGGACACACUACAUUUCCAGUAUGGUUGCCCAGUGAAGAGGGGCCCAGGAGUCUCCACAUCCAGCAGCAGCAUGUCCUCUGUUCUCACGAUCUGCAAGAGCGUUGCCGAGGGUUGCCAUAGCAACGCUCUUGUGGAUCGUGAGAACAGAGGACAUGCUGCUGCUGGAUGAGGAGAUUCCUGCAAGUGGCAUGAAAAUGUGCCAAGGGCAGCCCCCUAGUGAACGGCGUCCGGGGCGGACUGCCCCCUCCGCCCCCCCGUAGUACGUUACUGCCCCCCACUCACUUACCUGAUCAGUAGGCUGAUUGCAGGCUGGGAGUUGCUGGCUCUGCUUGCUCUGUGCUGUGGGGUCCCCCCAGAGUGUAGAGAGAGGUGGAGAGAUGAAGUUCCUGUCUCUGCCUCUCUCCACACAGCCAGCGGUGGUAUUGCGUCUAAUUUCAAUCAAGUUCCUGUCUCUGCCUCUCUCCACACAGCCAGCGGUGGUAUUGCGUCUAAUUUCAAUCAGUAAAAAAAUACCGGCAUUUGUAUAGCCGGUAUAAUUGCAAUACCGCCACCGGCCAGGCAGCCUGAAAUACCGGCUGUGCCAGUAAAAUACUGGCCAGGUGGCAACCCUACCCAUCGCAUUGAAGAUUCAUGUCAGCCUGCAUCAAGCAUUGAUGACUGACAGAUAGCCUCCUGGCUUGCCUUCAACAUACAGGAUCUUGCAUAGAGCACUACUGAAGAAUUCUCUGCAUGGUCCUAGCAGUCACUGCACAGUUUGAGCUCUUACUGUGCUUCCUAAGGACAGCGCCCUGUUGUUCCUGGAUACAGGACACCAGUGAACCAAAUUGGGAAGAUGGGACUCCAAACUAGGAAGAGGAGCCCUGCUUAUGUAUAUGUAUAGGAUACCAUAAGAAUACCCUAUCUGUCCUCAAAAUAGAAGGAACAUGUAGCAAAAGUGUCAAAAAGACCUCUGUCCCAAAUGCAUAUCAUUUCAGAAAAAUGUCAAGUUAAAGAGGUUUCAUAAUUGUUUUCACAAUAUUCUAGAAAAGCAGGGUACUAGAAAAAUAAUGCAGGAAUGGGACAAGCAUUUGUGUCACUCUCCCAAAUUAUAUUUAUUUGUCCCUCCCCUCAUUAUAUUUAUUUGUCCCUCCCACCCAAUUAUAUUUAUUUGUCCUUUAAUAAGUGGUUAGACACAGGGCCAUCUGUUCAAUUGGUGUGCAGGACUGGCUUGGCCCGGCCCAACGGGAUAGGGGGAAAUUUUCCGGUGGGCCAGCACACCUUCACGGUCAGGGGACAAUGACACACACUGAGGGACUGAGAAGGAGACAGUGACACAGAGGGACUUGGGAAGGGGACAGUGACACACACUGAGGGGCUGAGAAGGGAACAGUAACACACAGAGAGGCUAGAGAUGGGGACAGUGACACAUUGGGGAAUGGGGUAAUAACACAGAUGGACUGAGGUAAGAAAGUGACACACAAAGGGGCUGGGGAACGUAUGACACACAAAGAGGAAAAGUAAGAGGUACAAAGGGGAAAAAUGGGAGAUAACAUACACUAAAGGGGUGGUAAGGUAAACAAAAAGGAAUAAGACAUUACUUCUUUUUGGGAGGUGGGUUGGCAAAAGGUAUCUUCACCUGAGUUGUCAAAAAUUAUUGAAGAAAAUUGCCAUGCAUGUAAAAAAAAUAAGCACAAAACACAUUUAAAAUCACUGUAUCUGUCUGUGUAUUUGCAGGUGUGGCAGUUUAUCUGCAUGUGUGUUAGUGUGUGUAUCUUUGUAUCUAGAUGUGUGUCAGUGUUUGCUUCUGUGUAUCUGCAUGUUGUGUAUCGGUGAAUAUAGAUGUGUGUCAGUGUUUGCUUCUGUGCAUCUGCAUGUGUGUCGGUUUUUGUAUCUGUGUGUCUGUGUAACUGCAUGUGUCAGUGUUUGUAUCUGUGUCUGCAUGUGAGUCUGUAUGUGUGUCAGUGUUUGUACCUGUAUUUGUAUGUCUGUGAAUCUGUGUCAUUGUGUCUGUGUUUUUAUAUCCAUGUGUCUGCAGGUGUAUCAGUGUGUGUAUUUGUAUCUAUAUGUCAGUGGGUUUUUAUGUGUGUCAGUGUUUGUAUCCAUGAUUAGCAUGUGUGUCAGUGUGUGUAUUUGUGUACCUGCAUGUGUGUCAGUGUAUCUGCACUGUAGAUACUUAUAUUUCUGGGGCAGAGGAGAAGCAGGAGGCCAGGAGAAGAAGAGGGAGCCUAGGACAGAGGACAAGCAGGGAGAGACUUAAGCAGGGGAGGAGCAGGGAGAGCAUGGGGCAGAGAAGAAGCAGAGAGAAUAGUGCAGAUAAAAAUGGGAGAUUGGACACAGAAAAACAUAUACAUUUGAAAUAGCUGCAAGAAAUAUUUUGUUAAUAUGUGAGGUACAAUUCAUGGAAAAGGGCUGCCUUGGGGUACACACGUGAAAAAAGGUUGGAAAAACACUGCCCUAGGCUAAAGAAGUGACAGAUGUGUAAUUAAAGCUAGCAGUCAAAAAUGCUUGCACCGAUCCAGUAUGUGUGGCACACCCCACACAGCCCAGACAGGAUGGCAUGCUGAAGCAAGCAUGUCUGCAUCAUUAGUGAAGAUUGCUCUGCUCGAAGUGUCCCCAGGAGGGUCAAUUGCUAUAGAUGGGGUGUGGCAGUAGAGUGCCCAUCAUCUCAGCACUGCCAUUUUUGGAGGUUUAUGAGUGUUGCAUUGUUGUAAAACCCAUAGAUCUGCCGAGAAUGGCAGCUUUGGAGUGAGGGUAGCAUGUAAAUAAUGUUAUAAACACUCCUAAAGCAAAUUAAUAUAUAUUAUUGUAUAAAAAAUGAUAUAAUUACUGCAUGUGGUGCUGUUACAUACUAAUAGUCAACCUAGAAAGACAGGUUAAUUUUAAGACAAGGUAGACCCAACAUUAAAUUCAAUAUUUACAUGAUAAUUGUGUUUAGUAAAAAAGGUUAUUUAACGCGAACUGGCCUUGUGUGAAAAAUAAUUGUUUAAUAACUGAGUCAACUUUUGCAACAACUGCAACCAAGCAGUUUCUUUAAUUGGAGAUCAUUUUCUUUCACAUCAUGUGGUGAAAUUUUGGCCCACUUUUCUUUGCAGAGUUAUUUUAAUUAAGCAACUGGAAAGCUUUCAAGCAUAAACUAUUCAUUUAAAGUACUACAUAUCAAUGGGGUUCACUCAGUUUUAUGAAUGAGGAGCUUGUGAUCAGCUGACACUCUCAGUUUAUCAAAAGCAUCAAGUCUGAGGUUUCCAGAUGGAUGGGUGAACUGGGUGAACAUGCUAUGUAUUCAAAUGUUUGGGGUUAAACUAUUCAGAAACAUUUAAUUGUGUGAAAGUAAGAAGGCACCCGGGAUUUUCUAGCAACAAUAAUUGAGAUGGAGUUGUUAUGGUGCCUGGUGUCCUUUUAAGUUUAAGCUACAGUGCACUUACUUUUUUUUAGUUUUGUGCAUUGCCCUGCUGUAUAACCCAAUUAUGCUUCACAUAACUGACUUAUGGCUAGAAAUUAUCCUUUGGAAAGUUCUGGUAUUAGAAUUCAUGCAUGGUACCUUCAAUGAUGGCAACUUUUGAAGGUUCUGGAGCAGGAAAGCACCCCCACACCAUUACAACACAAUAAGCAUGUUUCAAUGUUGUUUAACUAAUUAUAUUAGCAUUUUUUAUAGCACUAACAUAUUCCACAGUGCUUUAAGAUUAUAGAAUGGGGAUAUUUGACAAGUAAGUGAUAUACAGAAUACAAUAUAAUAUAAUUUGUGUGCUCUUUAAUUGAAUCCAAUGAUUAAUUACAUUUGGUCAAUAAUUUUAUUGAUGCAUUUACUUUUUCUCAGAGAGACAGCUAGUAUUAGGUUACUUUUUUAUUUUUCUUACUUUUCAUUUUUCUCCACCCAAUUCAGGAAUACUGCUUGCCUUGAAAAAAUUUUGCCUCUUAGAACCUCUGACGUUACUCACCCUUUCUGACUCAAUACUCUCUGUUAAUUAGCCUUGCAUUUCACAGGCUUGCUUAUUCUCCUAGAUUCUCUUAUAAAACUAUAUGUUUUCCUUCACUUUUUAAUUUAUACUUUCUCCUUUUUUUUCCCCCCAAUGGAAGGUGGAUGGCGGCGGAGGUUCCCCGUGUGCCCAGGCGGAGCAGUUGGCCCAGUGAGGACGUUGAGGUGAGGGCCCAAGAUGGCGUCGGAAUGGUGGGAUGCUCACAAAGUCUGCCUUCUGUUCUGGGACAGGCGGAUAUAAUGUCACAACGUCGGACGCAAGGUAGCAGACGGAUGACGUCAAUGGAGGGACGCUGCCACGUCACAGGCCACACCAUCUUUACCUCUCCGACGAGUCGGACACAGCAGAGGAGUCCAGAAAGCGGUCGGAACUCUGCCAGAUGUGGGCAGGAGAUUUGGUGAGAGUGCAGCUUUCCAGAAAGAUUUGGAUUCUACCUUAGGAGCAGAGGGAGAGGAAGAAGCAGCCCAGCCUGCUGCUCUGGAGUUAGCUGUCCAUCUCCCCAGGGGUGAGUUAACCCGCGCUAGCGUUUGGGGUGAUAUGCAGUCUAGUGAAGUACUGGGAUUUCUGCGUGCAGUUUUAGAGAAAACUUAGCUUUAGCUCCGGCUGUUAGUGUAGGGGGUUACAUUCUUGCAAGCAUCUUGGUGCGGUGGUUACCAGAAAAGGCCCCCUCUCUGUUUGUUAUCUUGAUUUAAUUUGAGGGGCAUACAAAAUCUAUGGUUCAGACAUAGAAACAUAGAAUGUGAUGGCAGAUAAGAACCAUUCGGCCCAUCUAGUCUGCCCAAUUUUCUAAAUACUUUCAUUAGUCCCUAGUCUUAUCUUAUAGUUAGGAUAGCCUUAUGCCUAUCCCAUGCAUGCUUAAACUCCUUUACUGUGUUAACCUCUACCACUUCAGCUGGAAGGCUAUUCCAUGCAUCCACUACCCUCUCAGUAAAGUAAUACUUCCUGAUAUUAUUUUUAAACCUUUGUCCCUCUAAUUUAAGACUAUGUCCUCUUGUUGUGGUAGUUUUUCUUCUUUUAAAUAUAGUCUCCUCCUUUACUGUGUUGAUUCCCUUUAUAUAUUUAAAUGUUUCUAUCAUAUCCCCCCUGUCUCGUCUUUCCUCCAAGCUAUACAUGUUAAGAUCCUUUAACCUUUCCUGGUAAGUUUUAUCCCGCAAUCCAUGAACCAGUUUAGUAGCCCUUCUCUGAACCCUCUCUAAGGUAUCAAUAUCCUUCUGAAGAUACGGUCUCCAGUACUGUGUACAAUACUCCAAGUGAGGUCUCACCAGUGUUCUGUACAAUGGCAUGAGCACUUCCCUCUUUCUACUGCUAAUACCUCUCCCUAUACAACCAAGCAUUCUGCUAGCAUUUCCUGCUGCUCUAUUACAUUGUCUGCCUACCUUUAAGUCAUCAGAAAUAAUCACCCCUAAAUCACUUUCCUCAUAUGUUGAGGUUAGGACUCUAUCAAAUAUUCUGUACUCUGCCCUUGGGUUUUUACGUCCAAGAUGCAUUAUCUUGCACUUAUCCACAUUAAAUAUCAGUUGCCACAAUUCUGACCAUUUUUCUAGUUUACCUAAAUCAUUUGUCAUUUGGCUUAUCCCUCCUGGAACAUCAACCCUGUUACAUAUCUUAGUAUCAUCAGCAAAAAGACAUACCUUACCAUCAAGACCUUCUGCAAUAUCACUAAUAAAAAUAUUAAAGAGAAUGGGUCCAAGUACAGAUCCCUGAGGUACCCCACUGGUGACAAGUCCAAGCUUUGAAUAUAUUCCAUUAACUACAACCCUCUGUUGCCUGUCACUCAGCCACUGCCUUACCCAUUCAACAAUAUUUGAAUCCAAACUUAAAGAUUGCAGUUUAUUGAUAAGCCUUCUAUGUGCAACAGUGUCAAAAGCCUUACUGAAAUCUAGGUAAGCAAUGUCUACUGCACCACCCUGAUCUAUAAUUUUAGUUACCCAAUCAAAAAAAUCAAUAAGAUUAGUUUGGCAUGAUCUCCCUGAAGUAAACCCAUGUUGUCUCUGAUCUUGAAAUCCAUGUGUUUUUAGAUGUUCAUCAAUCCUAUCCUUUAACAUGGUUUCCAUCACUUUCCCCACUACUGAAGUAAGGCUUACUGGCCUAUAGUUGCCCGACUCCUCCCUAUUACCUUUCUUGUAAAUGGGCACAACAUUUGCUAACUUCCAAUCUUCUGGGACUACUCCUGUUAACAAUGAUUGGUUAAAUAAAUCUGUUAAUGGUUUUGCUAGUACACCACUAAGCUCUUUUAAUAGCUUUGGGUGUAUUCCAUCAGGUCCCAUUGACUUAUUUGUCUUUACUUUUGACAGUUGAAAUAGAACCUCUUCCUCUGUAAACUCACGUGUAAUAAAUGACUCAUUUAUCCUUUUUCUCAACUGAGGUCCCUUUCCUUCAUUUUCUUCUGUAAAUACAGAACAAAAAUAUUCAUUGAGGCAGUCAGCCUGACCUUUAUCCUCUUCUACAUACCUUCCUUCUUUUGUUUUUAAUCUAACUAAUCCUUGUUUUACUUUUCUUUUCUCAUUUAUGUAUCUAAAAAUGUUUUAUCCCCCUUUUUUACUGACUGUGCUAUUUUCUCUUCUGUGUGUGAUUUGGAAGCUCUUAUAACUUGCUUAGCCUCUUUCUGCCUAAUCUUAUAGAUCAUUUUGUCUUCCUCACUCUGGGUUUUUUUAUAAUUCCUAAAUGCUAACUUUUUGUUUUUAACUAUUUUGGCCACAUCUGCGGAGUACCACAGUGGUUUCUUGAAUUUUUUGCUUUUACUGACAAGCCUAAUGCAAUUUUCUGUUGCCUUCAGUAGUGCAACUUUUAAAUAAUCCCAUUUCUCUUGGACUCCAUUUAAAUUGCUCCAGUCUGAUAAUGACUCCUCUACACAUAUUCUAAUUUUAGAAAAGUCUGUUUUUCUAAAGUCUAAAACUUUUGUUUUUGUGUGGUGUGACUCAGUCACUGUUCUUAUAUUAAACCACACUGACUGAUGAUCACUGGAUCCUAAACUUUCACCUACAGUAACAUCUGAUACCAAAUCUCCAUUUGUUAACACUAAAUCUAGUAUGGCCUCUUUACGAGUUGGCUCCUCAACAACUUGUUUUAGAGACAAUCCCAGUAGGGAGUUUAGAAUAUGUGUGCUCCUGGCACAAGUAGCUAAUUUUGUUUUCCAAUUUACAUCAGGAAGAUUAAAGUCACCCAUGAUGAUAACUUCCCCCUUCAUUGUCAUUUUAGCUAUUUCCUCAACUAGUAGAUUAUCUAACUCUUCAAUUUGUCCUGGGGGCCUAUAAAUCACACCUACACAAGUUACUGUGUGAAGAUGACGGCAUGUCCGGGGAUGGACUUUAGCAUGCAGGCAAACUACGGCUGCUCCUGAUAACGCUGUGUAGGCCUUCGCCCUUUCCUGGAGUAGCUAGCGCACACGCUAGUGCACCGGCAGGGCAGAAAAAAGGAGUAUGCUGGCUCUUUAACGAGAGUCACUGUACGUGGUUUAGCUCCCGUUGGUUCCGUCAUGAAUGCGCCCAUUGUGGAGGAGCGCAUCCUGCUAUGCGCUGCUUUAGAAGGGUAAGCAGUUCCUGGCAAAAUGCACAGGUAGGGACGAUGUUACCAGAGGUGAGGAUGCCGGUGAGCGCAGUAAUGAUGCGGCAGUGGCUCGGCUGGUACCCCAAUAAGCGCACCGUGGACAUUUUGGUGAAAGGAGGGAUUUUUUCUGAGGGAUUUUGGAUACCGUUUGUUUUUUCUGAAGUUUUUUCGUUCGCGGAUAAUUUGAAGUCGGUAAACGGGGAAAGAGGCGAUUUUGCAAGACAAGCUGAACAAGGAGGGCCGGUUGGGGCAGAUGGCAGGACCUUUAGACUUCACCCCUCUUUCCCAACUUGUGAGUUUCCCUGUUGGGGGAUCGGUGAAUGACGAUGACCUGGGAAGGAGGUCUGCCGGUGAGAUACGCUUCCUUUGCAAGGGGGUUGGAAUUGGUGCGGGAAGCAGGGGCGUUGUUAGCUAAGUCGGAUAUAGAGUCAGCCUUCCGCUUGUUGCCGGUUCACCCAGAGUGCUUCCAUUUGUUGGGUUGUCACUUUGGUGGGCUGUUUUACCAAAAUAUGUGUUUGUGUAAGAGCAGAAAAUGUUUUGGCCAGUCACAACGUUGUCGUUUCUUGGGAUCGAGGUUGAUAUGGUGCCAAUGAUUUUUCGGCUGCCGGAUGACAAAUUGUCGGUUCUCUUGGAUUUGGUGAACCAGGUGAAGGGUGCGAGGAAGGUCCAAUUACGUUGAAUGCAGGUUCUUUUGGGGCACUUGGCAUUUGCGUCCUUCCAAUGGGUCGGGUUUUUUGUUGUCCGUUUGUCGUUAGCGACGGUGGACAUUCUGGAACCACAUUACUUUAUACGGGUCAACAGAUGUCUCCGGGAGGAUUUACAGGUAUGGAGUUCUUUCCUAGGAACCUACAAUGGGCAUUUGUGCUGGCUGAAGGAAGCCACAUCCAAUGCAGCUCUGGAUCUUUUUACGGACGCUUCAGAUUCGGUGCGUUUUUUCGGGGUCACUGGUGCACGGAGCCUUGGUCAUUGAGUUGGAAGGAGUUGGAGCUAAUUCGUAACAUUACCUUUUUAGAGCUUUUUCUGACUGUAGUGUCCUUAGAGCUGUGGGGAGACGACCUGUGGGGGCGCGUCGUGAUUUUUCACAUGGACAACAUGAGCAUGGUCCAUCCAUGAAAAAUCGGUCAUCGUCGGCCUCCACCCCCAUGUUGGCGUUGCUUCGGUGCUUGGUGUUGCUGAGCUUGCAGUUCAAUGUUUGGGUGAAGACAGCUCAUGUUCCAGGUGUGUUAAAUGUGGUGGCUGACUCUUUCUCGGUUUCAGUGGGACCGUUUUUGAGAGGCAGCACGAGAAGCAGAUUGAGUGGGAAGGAUUUGUCCUGCAUCUUUAUGGGACCUCGCUUUGGAGGACUGAGGGAUCUGGUGGCCGAGUCUUUGUUUCCAGCGUCGUGGCAGGCAUAUCGGUCGAUGUGGUCGUAGUGGCUGUCCUUUGUCGAUGAUCGCUACGGAGUCAGGGAGGUUUGAAAUUAUGUUGCUGUUCCUGUCUGCGUUAUAGUCUCAGGGUAAGUCGUGUGCAUCUGUGGAACGAGCGAUGUCAGCCUUGUCUUUGCUUUGCUUUUUAGGGUGGAGGGAUCUCAUGAAAGAGUUUAGUGUUCAGAGUGUGUUAAAAGGUUGGAGGCAUAGGAAAGGUAAGGAUCAUCAGAGACCAAUUUCGGUGGACUUACGGGGGCAGCUCUUAACGAUCCUUCCGGAGAUGUGUGCUCCGGAGUUUGAGCUUUUGUUGUUUCGGGUUGCGUUAUCCCUUAGUUUUUUUGGCGCGUUCCGAGUAGAUGAGUUGGUGGUGCCCAACUUGCGGUCGGUGUCCCAUGUUGCUGUCAGAUGUUCGGAGGUCCGAUUCUUUGUUGGAUCUUCGGAUUCGUUGAUCCGAGACCGACCGAUUGGGUCGUGGAGCGUGGGUGCGGACUGGGGCCGGUGGGGGCCCCUUUUGUCCAGUUUAGUUGGUCAGGGCCUACUUGAAAGUGAGGCCGGGGGCGGCAGGGUUCCUGUUGGUACAUCGGGAUGGGUCGCCGUUAAUGUCAUACCAGUUUUCAUUUCAUUGCUCCGGUUGGCAUUGCGAGCUUGCGGAGUGGACGCCGCUGGAUAUUCAGCUCAUACCUUUCGAAUUGGGGCUGCCAUGCAAACGGACGUCUUAGAUUAUUCAGCAACUGCUAUUAAGAGUUUGGGCAGAUGGGACUCAGGUAGUUUUCGGCUGUAUCUUCAGCCGCAUUUGUUGUAAUGCUUUCCUCUCUUAUAGGUCCCCCUCAUUAUGUGUGGAUCAGGGCCACUCUUAUGUUUACUGGGUAGGUGAGGUCCUACGGCAGGAACUUGGGCUUUCUGGAUGAAGUGGACAGGGUUCAGUGGCGAGUGUGACGGACCGCCUGGCAGCGCGACCGGGUACCUCCAUCAAUCGCUGCUUACUAGUAAACCUUGAGUACCAUUAGCACCGCACUGGAAACCAUAACCACCGUAAAUCAACGCAGCUUGGUUGGGGUAUCACUGUCCUCCACCCACACUGGAGCCAAGACCAGGAUCCAGUUUCCAGUGGGUAGCCCAGAGAGCAAAGCAGACUGCUCUUACAAGAGCAAGUGUUGUAAUUCAAGGGAGUAUAGUGAUUUUAGCAAUCCCAAGAGUGACUAUAGCUCUCCAAUCCCCCAAACAUGAGCCUAGACUUAAUGAAGAGUAAAACGAAUCUGUUUAAUGGCAGCCACAGCUCGCCUUAUAUGCAGGUCCCCAUGCAAGGUGCACUCCCCCCUGGACCUGAGAGUAGGCUACUAUACAUGAUUACAUUGGCUCUCAGGUCCAGGACACUCCUAUACAAAAUAGGUAAAUCUCCCUAUGCCUGGGAGAUAAUUAAGUCAGCACUGUAUUAAACUCAAUUAUCUCCAGGCACAGAAAACAUAAAUUUUUACAAAAAAAAGUGAAGUAGAAUGAUGAGUCUGCUUGGGGAGUUGCAGCCUGCCGAGGGCUGAUGGCAGUAGGCAGGCUAAUACAAACUCUGGACAAGGAAGUGGGAUCUGUCUGUUAGGGGAAGUUACCCAACAGCUGACAGUUGGAUGGAAUGCUGGUCCAUUAAAAGUUGUAAACUUAAUAAAGCUGUGGUCGUUGCCGUUACUCAUAUUUCUGGUCUCAUCUAUUUUUGUUGGCGGCAUUGGAGGAAAGAGGAUUGGUCGGCAGUCAUGUAUGUAGUGUUUGUGUGUAUUAGAUGCAGAUUGUGUCUUUGUGUAGUAAAGACCUGUGUUCAAGAAGUUGUAUUUUCAUUUAAACAGAGUAAACCUAAGCUACAUAGAUAGUCAUAUGCAAGAUUUAGUUUUAAAAAUGACAGGCUGGACGCAGUGUGCAAACUUGCUGAAAACCCAUUGUUCCAUGUGGACAAAUAUAAUUCUCAAAAGGUUUGAGACCUUCAUAUUAAACCCACAUCAUUGUGUUCCUUGUUGCUAACAUUCACUUUAACUGCUCUGAUUCCAUAAAAAAAGUUUCUUUCUUGAAGAUUGUCCCUAUCAUAAACCCCCUUUUUCUCCUUUUCCUUCACCGCAGGAUUUUAGUAUCUGUACUUACAUUUGAACAUGCAGAAUGUGCAAUUUUAGUAGUGUUCUGUGGAUUAUUAUUCUUUAAAUUACUUUCUGGACACGCGCGCAUGCGUGGUAGUGCGCUCAGGACUUCAGAGGGCGACAUGAAUGCUGCGCAUGCGCACAAGGGAGCAAUGACGCUUCCAAAUGGAAGCGUCUGAUUGCUCCCUGCUCGCGCCCGCCUAUUUCAUCAUUUUGACGAAAUAGGGGGCGCGGCUUCACGAGGCUCCCGGCGCUGGAACCAGGUGAGUAAAAUUUUUGCCUGGAGAGUCCCUUUAACUUGACUUGUGUUUAGUAAAAAUAACUAAAUUUUUCAACUCACAUAAGGACCUAGACAUUGCACUCGACAUUACUCACUAUAAACUCCGUGUUUUAUUCUUGCCUACACCAAAAGAUAGCCAUGUAUGUCACUAUUUAUAAUCCUGUACCUAGCCAGAACCACACUGAAUUGUUCUCAAGUAACACAACCGUAACCCACAAACCUACUACAGUAUAACAAUGUUCAGUGAAUUUGAAUGCCGUAGCCAGUCAGCUCAGACAUGUAUGUUUAGUAUGUUCUUCUCUCUGAUAAGCCUGAUUCUAAUAUAAUAUAAAUAACAUUUCCAGCUACACCCUAGGCUAGAAUUAGGAAGUGGCAGUUAAUCGUUCUACACCUUCCAUAGCACAUUCAGUUGUUAAGCCUUAUAACUGCUCAAGCACACGCAAUGACUUACAACAUAAUAUGGUUUCUCGUCUUUUACUUAAAAAAUGUGCACAGUUAUUCAAGCCAUGCAAUUGUAAUUAUUUGUCUCUCAAAACUAUGGCAACAGCUGGUGUGGCAUUGCUAGCCUAAAUGUUAUCUGUAUCAUCAAUGCACGAAAAAUAAAGAAUUAAAAUAAAUACAUUUUUAAGACAGAUCCUCUUACCAGAGCUAUCAAUCAGGUAGCUCGUACUCUUAUCCAAGGUGAGGAUCAUACCAUCUGUGCGCUAUGGUAUACAUUAAGCGGUUAGCUUGCUCAAUAAAAUGUGAGUAAGAUUUACUUUCUUUUUACUCCUGCUUUAAUACAUAUGGAGAGCACUAUUUUUGUUGGUUCUGUUUUUCUUUUGAGUCCUAUAAUAUCCAUACUGCUAAGAAAACCUGACUAUCACAUCAACUCAUAUAUCUUAGAAGUGGGGAUCAUACCACUCUACACCCCUCAUACUAGAGUACAUCUGGUACAUGUGAGUCCAUUUAUUUUUAAUUAAUUACUCAGUUGAUUAGGAUAUACUCCACCAUUGGAUUUUUCUGUUUUAUAUGUCUGCACGAAUUGUAAACCACUUCUGACUCAACCUGUAACUAUUUUUAUUAUCUGUAACUAUUUUUUAUAAAUUUUAAUAGCAUAACAUUAUUGGUGCUACCUUUCUUCCUUUUUCAUAUAUUACUUAUCUAUUUGUAGGGUUUGUGAGGGAGCUCUGAUCCAUUUUUCCUUUCUUUUAUAACUCUUAGUUUCAGGCCUACCUGUGUCAAUUCUGUACAAUGUGAACACAGCACACACUAUCUCUCCUACACACAGCCUGUUUUACUAAACUGGGAAUUGAGCUAUAUGUUAACACUGUACAGCUAUAAAUUUUUUAAAACAGUCACGCUACUGCAUUUUUUAAAAGUGAAAUUGAUCCUGGGAGAAGCUUCUUAUCACAUAGACCUCUCUGGACAGGGUUAUAAAAUCAGACUCCAUAAACCAGAAUGAGAACCUCCAAACUGGUAGAGCCUCUUCGUGUGGAGAGAGGGGUCAGCCUGCUACUGACGCACACAGCGUUAUUUACUAAUGUGACAAUAAUCAAGAAUUCAAAGACAAAUUUAGCUGACAAGGAAAAAUUCUCCCUGACAAAUCUCACUUCAGUGAAUAACCCUGUUAAUGUGCAUGUGCAGUAGCAUCUUAUUUUAUUCAUCUAAAUAUUUUAACAUGUUAUCUGUAAAAUGCAUUAAAACUAAGCUAUUCCUUUAACGUGCAUUUAAAAGAAAACAAAGCAUCACAUCAAAAAAGGUUAACGCAAGUUGUAUAUGAUUUGAUUCAAUAUUUUAUUCAAAUGUUUAUUUUCUAACCGUGCUAGCACCCUCUAUCACCAAGAGAGGGCAAUCUAUAGAAGAACUAAGGGUAUAAGACUAACAAUGGGUUAGUAUCACUCUAAAAAGGUAUUAACACACUUUGAAAUAAUGGUUACCAUUUGUGUCCUUUUAUCCAUUAGAAAUAUUUCUGGAUUUUGAUUCUUCAACAUGAUUUUCUGUAACAAUUAGUAUUUGUCAAAGUACACUUUUGACCUAUAACAUGUAUACAGUUGCACUUUUUGAAAAUAUAAUUCCAUUAAUUUUACAGUGUUUUGACUAGUGCCUAGUCUGACUUUCUUUUAUCAUUCACUUUAUUUACCCAACUAUAAGCCUGCCUAUAGGAAUGUCUUUCUCGUAGAAAGAUAUUCCUAUAGGCAGGCUUAUAGAUAUUUCUUACUUUGCAUAUUAUUAGUAAUGUCACUAGUCAAUAUAUCAAUGAGAACGUGUCAUAAAAAUUGCAUGAUUCACAAGAUUUUCUUAAGGCAAGUGCUAACAAUCUAUAAGACAGUGGAAACCUCACAUGUUUGGAAUCCACUGGGUUAUUCUCUAAAUUUCAAACUGUAGAAACUAAAAAUCCAUAUUUAAAAAUUUAAAGGAACACUCCAGGCACCAGCUUACUAUUCGGGAUUAAACCAUUCACAUUCACAAACCCCAGAGUAUACUAAUCAGCACCGGAUCGCUCUGUCCCCUGUCCUUCGUCUGCUCAAACUCUUGAAAGAGGAAGUUGCGGACAUGAAUGAGCUUCAGCCACAAAAUAAACUGAGAGAUGUAUUUUUCUCAAACUGUUGUUAUGAAUGGGGAGCUACUAACUGGCUCAGAGAGUCAGCUGACACUCUCACUCCUAAGUGUGGUCUGUUUCAAUAAUCUGAGCGGCGGUAGAACAGAGGGAAGAGUGAUUGGAAGCUGGAUACUGGAAUCUGGAGUUAAAUUGCUCAUGAAUAGUUUAACCUCUAAAGAGAAGCCAGCGCCAGGGAUCUCUUGGCAUCAUAACAACUUUUGGGCCCAUGUUUCCCUUAAAGGAUUAAUUAAUCAAAGCGGUAAACUAUAGCUCAGCUGGAUAAUUUUUCCAAAAUGGAUAUUUCAGCCUAUAUUUUGUCAGUCAGGAUUUCAUUCGCUACCAUUCAGAGCAUAGUGAAAAGUAACGUUGUUUUCUGUUUCAUAUGUUACAUAUUUACCUCAUGUUUUAAUUUUAUAAACGGAUGUGGACUGCACAACAAUCCAUACACACAAUGCCAAGUUCAGAAUCUCGCAAGACGCCAUGCACAAAAUAUUCUAGUAGCAGAAGAAUGUACAAGCACCAACUACACCUGUAUGAUUUGUAUAUCACAAUCCUAAACAUAACAUUAAACUGUAUCUAGGCAUGUGCUUGUCCAAUUAACAAAAUAUAUAAUAAAGUCACUGCACUCUCAGCCUUCCGAACCUAAAUCAAAAGUAAUUACAUGCAUUCCGUUAACGUCAUUGAAAGCCAUCACAGGUGUACUGUGCAUUUAUGAGUGGCUUCUUUUGAGUUACAUAAUAUAUGCAUGGCAUUAUCUCAUUCUUGCAGUUCUUCUAUCGUUGGUACCAGCAGGAGCUUAGAGAUUGGCUGGGACUAUCCAGCCACUUUCUGAUUGCUAUCAGCGUCAUAAAAGUCAGAUUUGAGCCUAGGCAAGAAAAAAACGAAACUUUUUUAUUAAAGCAUAAACUAUCUACAAGACGCAUAUAAAUGUCCAGCACAAUCUGAGCAGGAAUGCGAUCAUAACAUUUAAAACACUUAAAAAAUAAGUCAACCUUUCACAUAUUCUUGCUGAGGCUGUUAAUCCAAAAGAAGCAAAAACACAUGCUCAAGGGUUAUACUGCUAUAGUGAAGGGGAAAAAAAAAAAUCAACCUUCUAAUCAUUCUUCCUAAAAGACAAGAUUUGUCCCUGGACCAACACACUUUUAUUAUCGACAUCUAUACCACCUUUAAAAAAAAAAUCUGCACUACUUUAAUGAAACCAUGUCCAGCUAUUUAUCAAAACUGUCUGUAAAAGCACUGAUACAUAAGGCAUUCCACAUUUCCAUACUGGGGAUUUAUUUCUAUAACAAGUCAGAAAUGUCUGCAAAUUGUCUGUCUGCAAGUUUCUGUGUUCCCACAAAACACAAGAACAUUCUUGGAAAUCCAUUGGCUUGUAAUGUUCCAGAGCAACGAGGCAGUAUAUAGAUUGGUAAGAAUUACCAGGACUUUGCUUUGCAUUGCCACAAAUACAAGGAAGUAGAUAAUAAAUUAAUGUGUCACAUUAUAUGUCAUAAGAAAAGAAUCUUAACCACCCAUGUUGCUCUUAUGGACUUGCUUAAAAUUAAUCUACAUUGAGUGUUAAAAUGUUAAAGCAACAUUUGACUUUUGGCUUGUAGAGUACUGAACCAGACAUUAUAAUUUACAAAGCCAAAGCAAUUUCGUGUUUUUUUUCAUUGAGAACAUCCUGCAUCGGCUGCUGGUAGCCAAGAACAAUGUAAUGUUUAAUACUAUCUCCAGCUUUGAUAUCAAUAGUGAAUCGACAGUAGUAUUUUGAGAGUGGGUGUGGAGCAGCUGGGAAAUGUUAAGAUCCUUGGAUGCACAGGCUGUGAUCCAUUUGAAAUUUAAACAUUGUCAUACCAAUUCCCUAGAAAUAAGAGAAAACAAAGUCAAAAAAAUAUUUUAUUGGUAAAAAAAAAACUAAUAAAUAAAAAUCUAAUUCAUAGAAUGUACAUGCAAACACAAAACAUAUUGUUUAUUGCUGCUACGCCUUGAAAGUAGUCAAGGGUCUAAUUUUAUUUGUAGAACACUAAAGGAACACCGAGCAAAUGGACAGUGGUACAAUAAGCCUUAUAGAUUUCCUCUACAGUCAGUGCAAGUACUAGUGAUCACAUUAUCCAAUCACACAUGGAAUGAAAUAAGAUUAUCUCUCUCUGCUACAUCACAAAGGACAAAGAAUCGGUACAAUGAAAGCAAACACUAACCAAAUAUCAAAGAAUGUAAUGGAAUUUCAAGGUGUGAAUGACAUAUAAUACUAUACUGCUUUAUUCGUAUAAUGUAUUACUUUUGCAAACAUUGUAUUAUAUGUUUUGUUUGCAGAUAUUUUUAUAGUCGAGGCGUAAACCCAACAUGGCGACCGAGUUAGGUGCUUUUGUACUGCAGAGCACACACCUGAUAUGUUUCUCAUAUUCAGUGCAACCCUUUCUAUGCCAGCCUGCAGAUGGUUGGCAGAAUCAGUGUUAACUUCCUGCAUAGGAUUUUACUUGAAUCAAUGCUCACUUUGCACCUGCCUCUUAUAAAAAAAAAAAAAAAGGCCCUACUUUAUUUCCCCUAUGUCGCCUCCUUUUUACAUCCAGAGGAAAAGCACUACAGUUUCGGUUAGCUAAUGUACUUUGCUAAGAGUGUGUUGCUGUAAUUCUGCACAGUGAUUGGGGGUGUAUGCAGAACUGCUUAAAGGUGUCAUAAUAUAAUACCCACACUAUGAAAUCACAAAAAUGAAGAAUUAACAUUCAGUCGUGCCUAAGGACUAUAUUAGUAAUGUUAACAUCCUCUGCGCAAUACCUUAAAAAAAUAUUUCCCAUAACCCAAUAGUUUAGCUCCACCCCUUCCACAUGAGGAUUUAAUGUUGCACGCAGUUCUUUUGUUACAAAAAUGAAAAGGUGAUAAGAAUUAUAUCUGACACUGAUUUGCCAAGAAGCACUCGUAUUUUUUAGCUUGUAUUAUAUAUGUUGUUUUUUUUUUUUAUUCAUAGAAAGGAUAAAACAGUGAUUAUUGUUUGAAAAAGAUGGGGGGCAGGCAACUGUGCUUUCCAGGAACAUCUUGCAGGCAUCAAUCCUUGACAGCCUCCUAAUUUCAGCACAGUUGAGCUACCAACUCUAUGACUCAACAGCUACGCCUCCCAAAUCUCCCCAUAAACUACAUGGUUUAUGCCUGCCCAAUACGCAGUAUUUUCCAAUGCAAAAAUGUAUCUGCAAGCGUAGCUAAGGGCUUAGGCUAUUAGCAUAUUUUUUGGAAAGCUUCCGCACCACAUAACUAUAUACAAUUCCUCUUACAUGGGUGCAAUAAUGCUCUAGAUUUGACGCUUAAAAUAUUUAAGCAUUUACUUGCCUGCGGUAAAAGAUGAUGUGAGUGAGUCUUCUCCUUUCUUCAGUGUCGCAGUAUGUUUAAUGCAGGCUCAGUUCAUCAGCUUCUACAGUGAAAGAAAUAAUCAUUUAUUGGAUCCUCUCCUGAAACAUAGCAGGACAACAAAGACUUUUCAGUUCUAGUUUGCAUAAAGGAGCGGCCUGAAAAGUCAUGCAUGGCAAACG
rnacentral:lncRNA from 1 species